rnacentral:rRNA from 1 species
GUCCCUAGUUAAAUCUGGGCAGUCACAAAAGCUAAGCUGAGUUGGACCUGCUUAGUACUUGGAUGGGAGACUACCAAGAAAUCAUGAGGCUGUAGGCU